CAUGCAGUCGAACGGGAUCCAUCAGGCUUUGCUUGGUGGUGAGAGUGGCGAACGGGUGAGUAAUGCGUGACCGACCUGCCCCAUACACCGGAAUAGCUCCUGGAAACGGGUGGUAAUGCCGGAUGCUCCGACUCCUCGCAUGGGGUGUCGGGAAAGAUUUCAUCGGUAUGGGAUGGGGUCGCGUCCUAUCAGGUAGUCGGCGGGGUAACGGCCCACCGAGCCUACGACGGGUAGCCGGCCUGAGAGGGCGACCGGCCACAUUGGGACUGAGAUACGGCCCAGACUCCUACGGGAGGCAGCAGUGGGGAAUAUUGCACAAUGGGCGCAAGCCUGAUGCAGCGACGCCGCGUGCGGGAUGACGGCCUUCGGGUUGUAAACCGCUUUUGAUCGGGAGCAAGCCUUCGGGUGAGUGUACCUUUCGAAUAAGCACCGGCUAACUACGUGCCAGCAGCCGCGGUAAUACGUAGGGUGCAAGCGUUAUCCGGAAUUAUUGGGCGUAAAGGGCUCGUAGGCGGUUCGUCGCGUCCGGUGUGAAAGUCCAUCGCUUAACGGUGGAUCUGCGCCGGGUACGGGCGGGCUGGAGUGCGGUAGGGGAGACUGGAAUUCCCGGUGUAACGGUGGAAUGUGUAGAUAUCGGGAAGAACACCAAUGGCGAAGGCAGGUCUCUGGGCCGUUACUGACGCUGAGGAGCGAAAGCGUGGGGAGCGAACAGGAUUAGAUACCCUGGUAGUCCACGCCGUAAACGGUGGAUGCUGGAUGUGGGGCCCGUUCCACGGGUUCCGUGUCGGAGCUAACGCGUUAAGCAUCCCGCCUGGGGAGUACGGCCGCAAGGCUAAAACUCAAAGAAAUUGACGGGGGCCCGCACAAGCGGCGGAGCAUGCGGAUUAAUUCGAUGCAACGCGAAGAACCUUACCUGGGCUUGACAUGUUCCCGACAGCCGUAGAGAUAUGGCCUCCCUUCGGGGCGGGUUCACAGGUGGUGCAUGGUCGUCGUCAGCUCGUGUCGUGAGAUGUUGGGUUAAGUCCCGCAACGAGCGCAACCCUCGCCCUGUGUUGCCAGCACGUCAUGGUGGGAACUCACGGGGGACCGCCGGGGUCAACUCGGAGGAAGGUGGGGAUGACGUCAGAUCAUCAUGCCCCUUACGUCCAGGGCUUCACGCAUGCUACAAUGGCCGGUACAACGGGAUGCGACACGGCGACGUGGAGCGGAUCCCUGAAAACCGGUCUCAGUUCGGAUUGGAGUCUGCAACCCGACUCCAUGAAGGCGGAGUCGCUAGUAAUCGCGGAUCAGCAACGCCGCGGUGAAUGCGUUCCCGGGCCUUGUACACACCGCCCGUCAAGUCAUGAAAGUGGGUAGCACCCGAAGCCGGUGGCCUAACCCUUUGUGGA
rnacentral:rRNA from 1 species